ensembl:snRNA U4 U4 spliceosomal RNA
AGCUUGGCGCAGUGGUAGUAUCAUAGCCAAUGAGGUUUAUCUGAGGCGCAAUUAUUGAUGAUUUAUAAUUGCUGUUAGUCUGUUACCCUAUUUUAGCAGUACCAGAUUUUACACAAGCCACUCGAUU